CCUACGGGAGGCAGCAGUAGGGAAUCUUCCACAAUGGGCGAAAGCUUGACGGAGCAACGCCGCGUGGGUGAAGAAGGUCUUCGGAUCGUAAAAUCCUGUUGUUAGAGAAGAAAGUGUGUGAGAGUAACUGUUCACGUUUCGACGGUAUCUAACUAGAAAGCCACGGCUAACUACGUGCCAGCAGCCGCGGUAAUACGUAGGUGGCAAGCGUUAUCCGGAUUUAUUGGGCGUAAAGGGAACGCAGGCGGUCUUUUAAGUCUGAUGUGAAAGCCUUCGGCUUAACCGGAGUAGUGCAUUGGAAACUGGUAAACUUGAGUGCAAAAGAGGAGAAUGGAACUCCAUGUGUAGCGGUGGAAUGCGUAGAUAUAUGGAAGAACACCAGUGGCGAAAGCGGCUCUCUGGUCUGAAACUGACGCUGAGGUUCGAAAGCGUGGGUAGCAAACAGGAUUAGAUACCCUGGUAGUC
rnacentral:rRNA from 1 species